GGUGCAGCGGCAGCAGCUCCAGCCUGGCUCCGGGGUCCCUUUCGGGGCUGAUGCCCGCAAAUAUGCAGAAUUACCGGCCUGGUCGCUCCUAGAGCCAGCGCCGGGGAGCGAGCGCGGCGGCGGCCAGCACCGGGAACGCACCAAGGAAGAGGCCCAACCCCCGCCCUCCGCCCCUUCCGUCCCCACCCCCUACCCGGCAGCCCAGGAGGCUCCCGGCGCGGCGGGCGCGGCAAGCGCGCACUCCCUGCUCCUCCUCCUCCUCCUCCUCGCUGGCGCUGCCUGCCUCUCCGCACUCGCUGCUCGCGCCGGGCGCGCUCGUUGGCUCCCUGCUCUCCGCGCCACCCUCCUCCGGGCCGCGCUCCCUGAGGGAUGGUACUGAAUUUCGCCGCCACAGGAGCCCGGCUGGAGCGCCCGCCCCGCGGCCUCGACUCCCCGCCGAGCCGCCAGCGCCUCGGGACGCGAUGAGGACCUGGGCUUGUCUGCUGCUCCUCGGCUGUGGAUACCUCGCCAAUGCCCUGGCCGAGGAAGCCGAGAUCCCCCGCGAGGUAAUUGAGAGGCUGGCGCACAGUCAGAUCCACAGCAUCCGGGACCUCCAGCGACUCCUGGAGAUAGACUCCGUAGGGGCCGAGGACCCUUUGGAGACCAGCCUGAGAGCCCACGGGGGCCACGGUGCCAAGCAUGCAUCCGAGAAGCGGCCUGUGCCCGUUCGGAGGAAGAGAAGCAUCGAGGAGGCCAUCCCCGCCGUCUGCAAGACCAGGACGGUCAUCUACGAGAUACCUCGGAGCCAGGUGGACCCCACGUCCGCCAACUUUCUGAUCUGGCCGCCGUGCGUGGAGGUGAAACGCUGUACUGGCUGCUGCAACACCAGCAGCGUCAAGUGCCAGCCGUCCCGCGUGCACCACCGCAGUGUCAAGGUGGCCAAGGUGGAAUACGUCAGGAAGAAGCCAAAGUUAAAAGAGGUCCAGGUGCGGCUGGAGGAGCACCUGGAGUGCACGUGCACGACCGCCGGCCCGACCCCCGACCGCCGAGAAGAGGAGGCGGGAAGGCGUAGGGAGUCAGGUAAAAAACGGAAAAGAAAAAGGUUAAAACCCACCUAACGCGGCCAACCAGAGACCCCAAUGUCUGGCUGGUGGCAUCCAUCCUCAGUGUUGCCUCGUGGCCCGAGAUGGCUGCAGGAGCUCCAGAAGUCAUAUCAAGCUGUAGGCUGGAAGCAAGAAGAAGAUGUCAGGUGAGGAUCAGCCCGCAGCCCUUUCCUGGGACACGGAUGUACGUGACGUGUUACAUUCCUGAACCUACUAUGUACGGUGCUUUUACUGCCAGCGUGGUCUUUGUUCUCCUCCGUGAAAACUGUCGCCGUGCACACUCUGGAGAACAAAGAGACAGUAUACGUUGUUUAUAUGACAUCAGAGCAAGUAUUGUAGCACUCGGUGAAACAAUAAGAAGCUUCCUUGUCAAAAAAAAAGAGAGAGAGAGAGAGAGAGCGCGUGCAAACAGAACCACGAAACAUGACAAACAAAACUCACCCACAAAACUAUCUAAACGUUGCCGGCAUGGAGGGGACGCCCCAGGAAGUGACAGACGUCUCGGCGGACUGGAUUUCUGUCCAGGGUGGUCACAGGUGCUUUUGCCAAGGACGCAGAGCCUGCUUUCCGAAGGCUGCGCGGACGCCGACAGGCUCUGCCGGGGCGCGCAGGAGCCAGGGAUGUCUGGAAGCCGCAUCUCCUUUGCCGUAGUGUUUAAGUCUAUACAGAAACCUUCCUGAGAGCCUUAAGUGGAUUUUUUUUUACACCAUAAAGUGAUUAUUAAGCUUUCCUUUUUACUCCUUGCCUAGCUUUUUUUUUUUUUUUUUUUCCUUUUUUUAAUUAUCUCUUGGAUGACAUUGACACCGGUAACACCAGGCUGCUGUAACAGUCAGGACGAUGGGACGGUAUCUUUCCUAGCAGGAUGCGAACGAAUGAGAUGUAUUAAAAUAAACAUGGUAUACCCACCUAUGCAUCAUUUCCUAAA